UCUCCGUUGGUGAACCAGCGGAGGGAUCAUUGCUGGAAGCGUCUCACGGCGCACCCAGAUACCCUUUGUGAACCAAACUUGUUGCUUCGGGGGCGACCCUGCCGCUUCGGCGGUGCGGCGCCCCCGGAGGCCAUUAAACACUGCAUCAUUGCGUCGGAGUUAAAGUAAAUUAAACAAAACUUUCAACAACGGAUCUCUUGGUUCCAGCAUCGAUGAAGAACGCAGC
rnacentral:misc_RNA from 1 species